AACGAACGCUGGCGGCGUGCUUAAGACAUGCAAGUCGUGCGAGAAAGUUCCUUCGGGAGCGAGUAAAGCGGCGCACGGGUGAGUAACACGUGGGUAAUCUGCCCGAGGGUCUGGGAUAACUCCGGGAAACUGGGGCUAAUACCGGAUAAGACCACGGCGUCUGCGGGCGCUGCGGGAAAAGGUGGCCUCUGCUUGCAAGCUACCGCCUACGGAUGAGCCUGCGUCCCAUUAGCUAGNGGCGGGGUAACGGCCCACCAAGGCUGAGAUGGGUAGCUGGUCUGAGAGGACGACCAGCCACACUGGAACUGAGACACGGUCCAGACUCCUACGGGAGGCAGCAGUCGGGAAUUUUGGGCGAAUGGGCGAAAGCCUGACCCAGCGACGCCGCGUGA
rnacentral:rRNA from 1 species